rnacentral:rRNA from 1 species
CUUGGUCAUUUAGAGGAAGUAAAAGUCGUAACAAGGUUUCCGUAGGUGAACCUGCGGAAGGAUCAUUAUCGAAUUAUAGGCAAAGGUUGUCGCUGGCCUCCUGGGGCAUGUGCACGCCCGAGCUCUUAAUCCAAAUUACACCUGUGAACUUAAUGUGGGAUGGUCUCCCUUCGGGGAAGCAAGUCUCAUGUCUUUCAUACACACACUUGUCUCAGAAUGUCUUACAUGUUGUUUGCUUUGAUGCAAUCAAAUAAAUAAAUACAACUUUCAACAACGGAUCUCUUGGCUCUCGCAUCGAUGAAGAACGCAGCGAAAUGCGAUAAGUAAUGUGAAUUGCAGAUUUUCAGUGAAUCAUCGAAUCUUUGAACGCACCUUGCGCUCCUUGGUAUUCCGAGGAGCAUGCCUGUUUGAGUGUCAUUAAAUUCUCAACUUUGCUUGUCUUUUCAAGCAAAGCUUGGAUUUUGGAGCGUGCUGGCGAAGGUCGGCUCCUCUUUAAAUACAUCAGCGGAAAGUCAUUUCAAAUGACUUUGACUUUUGCGGUGAAUCGGCGUGAUAAUAAAUGUUGUUGCGUCGUUGGCCCGAAGGUCUCUGUCCGCUUACAAUGGUCUUCGGACGACUUAUUACGAAACUUGACCUCAAAUCAGGUAGGACUACCCGCUGAACUUAAGCAUAUCAAUAAGCGGAGGAAAAGAAACUAACAAGGAUUCCCCUAGUAACUGCGAGUGAAGCGGGAAAAGCUCAAAUUUAAAAUCUGGCGGCCUGUAUGGUCGUCCGAGUUGUAAUCUGGAGAAGCGUUUUCUGUGUUGGACCGUGUACAAGUUUUCUGGAACGGAACGUCAUAGAGGGUGAGAAUCCCGUCUUUGACACGGACUACCAAUGCUUUGUGAUACGCUCUCGAAGAGUCGAGUUGUUUGGGAAUGCAGCUCAAAAUGGGUGGUAAAUUCCAUCUAAAGCUAAAUAUUGGCGAGAGACCGAUAGCGAACAAGUACCGUGAGGGAAAGAUGAAAAGCACUUUGGAAAGAGAGUUAAACAGUACGUGAAAUUGUUGAAAGGGAAACGUUUGAAGUCAGUCGCGUCGGUCGAGACUCAACCUUGCCGUUUGGUUUGGCGUACUUCUCGGUCGACGGGUCAACAUCAAUUUUGAUCGUCGGAUAAAGGCUUGGGGAAUGUGGCAUCUCUCGGGAUGUGUUAUAGCCCUGGGUUCGUAUACGGCGGUUGGGAUUGAGGAACUCAGCACGCCUUCAUUGGUCGGGGGUUCGCCCCACGCAACGUGCUUAGGAUGUUGGCAUAAUGGCUUUAAGCGACCCGUCUUGAAACACGGACC